UCUCCGUAGGUGAACCAGCGGAAGGAUCAUUACCGAAUGCAAACGCAUAACCCUUUGGGAACCUAUAUCUGGUGCUUCGGCGGCUCGCUCUCGGGCGAGCCCACCGGUAAAAGCAGUAACUCUGUUUGAACCCGACGAUGCUUCUGAGUGUUCUUAGCGAACAGUUAAAACUUUUAACAACGGAUCUCCUGGCUCUC
rnacentral:misc_RNA from 1 species